rnacentral:rRNA from 1 species
GAUGAACGCUGGCGGCGUGCCUAAUACAUGCAAGUCGAGCGAACAGACGAGGAGCUUGUUCCUCUGACGUUAGCGGCGGACGGGUGAGUAACACGUGGAUAACCUACUUAUCAGACUGGGAUAACCUCGGGAAACCGGCGAUAAUACCGGAUAAUAUAUUGAACCGUAUGGUUCAAUAGUGAAAGACGGUUUUGCUGUCACUUAUAGAUGGAUCCGCGCCGCAUUAGCUAGUUGGUAGGGUAACGGCUUACCAAGGCAACGAUGCGUAGCCGACCGGAGAGAGUGAUCGGCGACACUGGAGCUGGAACACGGUCCAGACUCCUACGGGAGGCAGCAGUAGGGAAUCUUCCGCAAUGGGCGAGAGCCUGACAGAGCAACGCCGCGUGAGUGAUGAAGGUCUUCGGAUCGUAAAGCUCUGUUAUUAGGGAAAAACAAAUGUGUAAGUAACUAUGCCCGUCUUGACGGUACCUGGUCAAAAAGCCACGGCUAACUACGUG